UCCAGGUUCCCGAAUGACAUACGGCACGGUGUGAGGACGUCGUACGUCAUGCAGAGUUGAUGGCGGAUUAUGUUGCAUUGCGUGCGACGUCCCUACACAGCGCUGGCUCUUUCUGGCCAGA